rnacentral:rRNA from 1 species
AAAUAUAGUGGCGGAGCUAGGUCGUGCUCUAAGCGUAGUAACCAAAUUCUCGCUUCUGAAGCCGGCCCGGGUCCUGCCGUAAAACCCCCUAUAUUUUUCUGGUUGACCUCGGAUCAGGUAGGAAUACCCGCUGAACUUAAGCAUAUCAAUAAGCGGAGGAAAAGAAACCAACAGGGAUUGCCCUAGUAACGGCGAGUGAAGCGGCAACAGCUCAAAUUUGAAAUCUGGCCUUCGGGUCCGAGUUGUAAUUUGCAGAGGAUGCUUUUGGCGCGGUGCCUUCCGAGUUCCCUGGAACGGGACGCCUUAGAGGGUGAGAGCCCCGUACGGUUGGACACCAAGCCUCUGUAAAGCUCCUUCGACGAGUCGAGUAGUUUGGGAAUGCUGCUCUAAAUGGGAGGUAAAUUUCUUCUAAAGCUAAAUACCGGCCAGAGACCGAUAGCGCACAAGUAGAGUGAUCGAAAGAUGAAAAGCACUUUGAAAAGAGGGUUAAAUAGCACGUGAAAUUGUUGAAAGGGAAGCGUUUACGGCCAGACCUUUUCCUGGCGGAUCAUCUGGUGUUCUCACCAGUGCACUUCGCCAGGUUUAGGCCAGCAUCGGCUUCUGUAGGGGGAUAAAAGCAGUGGGAAAGUAGCUCCCUCGGGAGUGUUAUAGCCCUAAGCAUAAUACCCUUAC